GGGUCGCUGUUGGCCACGCCCCAGGGCUCUGUUUGGGAACCCCCAGAAUUUAUUGGAGUAGAGAGAUUGCAGGGGUCAUGGUGGGGUCAGGGCGAGAGGGCCGGCCAACCUUCUUCACGUGACCCUGUUUCCCCCGGGGAGGAGUUCGUUUUCCCACCACAGGGGGCGCUGGGGCCGGGGGCCGAGGGGCGAGGGGCUAGGGGCCGCCUCCCUCCCUUCCCGGGUACUUCUGGGCGUCGCUCUUGGGCCUGGGAGGUGACGCCAUCUGCCCGCGACGGGGGCGGAACGCACUUGACGCCAUCUCCGGGCGCCCGGCGUGGGGGGGCGCUGGGUGUGGGGCGGCUCCGGGGCCGGGGAUGGCGGCGGCCGCGGUCGCGGCGGCUCCGGGACGAGCGGGAGGAGCCCGAGGAGCGCCGUGAGAUGGGCCGGCUCCCAAGGCAGUGGGGAGGACACUGCUUCUUACUGCAGCUGCUCAGAGGCACUACUGGAAGCUCAGAUGUGGGCGCCCCCACCAGCAGCAGAGAGGGGUGCAGGGGAGCCACAGAGAAGCCCCUUCUGAUGUCCCAAGGAGCAAGCCGACCCCUUCCAGGCUC
rnacentral:lncRNA from 1 species